rnacentral:lncRNA from 1 species
CUGUGAGGUCACUUGUGGCUCAGUCCCUGAUGGACCAGUGCUAGGCCCAUGGCUGAUGUUUGUGGUUGUGAGGUCACUUCUGGCUCAGUGCCUGAUAGGCCAGUGCUAGGUGCAUGGCUGAUGUUUGUGGUUGAGAGUCACUUGUGUCUCAGUGCCUGAUAGGCCAGUGCUAGGCCCAUGGCUGCUCUUUGUGGUUGUGAGGUCAGUGGUAGCUCAGUGCCUGCUAGGCCAGUGCUAGGCCCAUGGCUGCUGUUUGUGGUUGUGAGGUCACUUGUGGCUCAGUGCCUGAC